CUGGUAGUCCAUGCCCUAAACAAUGUCAACUAAUUAUUAGAUUUAGUAAUAAAGCUAACGCGUUAAGUUGACCGCCUGGGAAGUACGAUCGCAAGAUUAAAACUCAAAGGAAUUGACGGGGACCUGCACAAGCGGUGGAUGAUGUGGAUUAAUUCGAUGCAACACGAAGAACCUUACCUACUUUUGACAUGUAUAGAAUUUAUUUGAAAAAAUAAAGUUCCUAUAACACAGGUGCUGCAUGGCCGUCGUCAGCUCGUGUCGUGAGAUGUUGGGUUAAGUCCUAUAACGAGCGCAACCCUUUUUUUUUGUUGUUACGGCACUCAAAAAAUACUGCUAAUGUUAAAUUAGAGGAAGGAAAGGAUGACGUCAAGUCCUCAUGGCCCUUAUAAGUAGGGCUUCCCACGUCAUACAAUGGUUAACACAAAAAGAAGCAAAUUUGCAAAAAUAAGCAAAUCUAUAAAAUUAACCUCAGUUCGGAUUAUAUUAUGAAACUCUA
rnacentral:rRNA from 1 species